AAGAAGUAAAAGACGUUCAGGCUUGAAACGGCCAUUACCUCACAGUCACGUGGUCUCUGUGAUACAACGUGUGAUGUGACGUAGUGGAAGUCUCGGCCUGGAGAUACUACGAGAGUUUAG
rnacentral:precursor_RNA from 12 species